rnacentral:rRNA from 1 species
GACGAACGCUGGCGGCGUGCCUAAUACAUGCAAGUUGAGCGCUGAAGGUUGGUACUUGUACCAACUGGAUGAGCAGCGAACGGGUGAGUAACGCGUGGGGAAUCUGCCUUUGAGCGGGGGACAACAUUUGGAAACGAAUGCUAAUACCGCAUAAAAACUUUAAACACAAGUUUUAAGUUUGAAAGAUGCAAUUGCAUCACUCAAAGAUGAUCCCGCGUUGUAUUAGCUAGUUGGUGAGGUAAAGGCUCACCAAGGCGAUGAUACAUAGCCGACCUGAGAGGGUGAUCGGCCACAUUGGGACUGAGACACGGCCCAAACUCCUACGGGAGGCAGCAGUAGGGAAUCUUCGGCAAUGGACGAAAGUCUGACCGAGCAACGCCGCGUGAGUGAAGAAGGGUUUCGGAUCGUAAGACUCUGUUGGUAGAGAAGAACGUUGGUGAGAGUGGAAAGCUCAUCAAGUGACGGUAACUACCCAGAAAGGGACGGCUAACUACGUG